UGGGGAAUAUUGGUCAAUGGGCGCAAGCCUGAACCAGCGACGCCGCGUGAGUGAUGAAGGCCUUCGGGUUGUAAAGCUCUGUGGGGAGAGAAGAAAACAUCUAGGGCGAAUAGGCCUAGAUCUUGACGGUAUCUUCUUAGCAAGCACCGGCUAACUCUGUGCCAGCAGCCGCGGUAAGACAGAGGGUGCAAACGUUGCUCGGAAUUACUGGGCGUAAAGCGCGUGUAGGCGGAUCUUUAAGUCGGGCGUGAAAUCCCUGGGCUCAACCCAGGAACUGCACUCGAAACUGAGGACCUUGAGUAAUGGAGAGGAAAGCGGAAUUCCUGGUGUAGAGGUGAAAUUCGUAGAUAUCAGGAGGAACACCGGUGGCGAAGGCGGCUUUCUGGACAUUUACUGACGCUGAGACGCGAAAGCGUGGGGAGCAAACAGG
rnacentral:rRNA from 1 species